CCCAUAAGACACACUUAGGUUUUAGAGGAGGAAAACAGGAAAAAAUUUUUGAAGCAAAAAAUGUGGUUAAAUAUUUAAUAACAUAAGUAACAUAAUAUUUCACGAAUGUAAAUGUAAACAAAACUCAACAGCGGCAUUAACAACCAUUACUCCCCACAAAUUGUGGGGGGUGUGUCUUAUAGUCUGAAAAUAUGGUACUUUUAAUGUAAAAGGAAAAACUCA